rnacentral:lncRNA from 1 species
CUUUGAGAAUCUGUGGGCUUAGGGGAAGUUUCCUUUGAAGCUUAUCAGCUCACAAUUAAAACUGAAAUGACCAGCAUGUAAAAAUAUCAUCUCACCAGACUUCUAAAAUACAAAAUAAAUAGCAACAUUUCCUGAUUGCAGUAAAGCUCAAUGGUGGAGUUCUCUUUUUCAGAGUAGGCCAAAUAAUCAUAUAAGCUCACAAAACUCUAAAAGAACAUAAAUGAUUUCUUUCAUUUCCUAACCAAGGAUUGUGAGGCACUAAUUUACAUGACCUCUGUCUGUCUUCGCAGCAGGGGACUUUAGUGCAGUUGUGUUCAGAAGGGAGUCUCAUGAGGACCGGGGCCACUUAGAGCCUCAGUGCUAUUUUCAUGUCAGGAGACAAAAGUGGGAACAAAGCCGGCCUUCGUUUCAGAUAUGCAGGGGAGCUUGCUGCUGCACGAAGCUCUCAGAAAUACUCGGAAGAUGAACAAUGGCUCCCAGAGAACAUGAGCAAGACACAUUUCAAUUUCAGAAACAAAUGCACAUGAAAGAUCAUCUUUUAUUGGAGAACAUACGUUAAGUUAUCCUCUUUUCAAAAACAACCAGGAAACAGUGACCUUUCCAAUGCCUUCAUCAGCUGCAGUUUUAGGAGAACAUAAUAAAUGCCACUAGACACCGUGGAGCAGAAAACACAAGGAUUCAACAAAUUAAACUUUGGAACACACACCAAAGACACCCA